rnacentral:rRNA from 1 species
UGGGGAAUUUUGGACAAUGGGCGCAAGCCUGAUCCAGCCAUGCCGCGUGCAGGAUGAAGGCCUUCGGGUUGUAAACUGCUUUUGUACGGAACGAAAAGGUGCCUUCUAAUAAAGGGCGCUCAUGACGGUACCGUAAGAAUAAGCACCGGCUAACUACGUGCCAGCAGCCGCGGUAAUACGUAGGGUGCGAGCGUUAAUCGGAAUUACUGGGCGUAAAGCGUGCGCAGGCGGUUUUGUAAGACAGAGGUGAAAUCCCCGGGCUCAACCUGGGAACUUCCUUUGUGACUGCAAGGCUGGAGUGCGGCAGAGGGGGAUGGAAUUCCGCGUGUAGCAGUGAAAUGCGUAGAUAUGCGGAGGAACACCGAUGGCGAAGGCAAUCCCCUGGGCCUGCACUGACGCUCAUGCACGAAAGCGUGGGGAGCAAACA